rnacentral:rRNA from 1 species
GAUGAACGCUGGCGGCGUGCCUAAUACAUGCAAGUCGAGCGAACAGAUGAGGAGCUUGCUCCUCUGACGUUAGCGGCGGACGGGUGAGUAACACGUGGAUAACCUACCUUUAAGACUGGGAUAACUUCGGGAAACCGGAGCUAAUACCGGAUAAUAUAUUGAACCGCAAGGUUCAAUAGUGAAAGACGGUUUUGCUGUCACUUAUAGAUGGAUCCGCGCCGCAUUAGCUAGUUGGUAAGGUAACGGCUUACCAAGGCAACGAUGCGUAGCCGACCUGAGAGGGUGAUCGGCCACACUGGAACUGAGACACGGUCCAGACUCCUACGGGAGGCAGCAGUAGGGAAUCUUCCGCAAUGGGCGAAAGCCUGACGGAGCAACGCCGCGUGAGUGAUGAAGGUCUUCGGAUCGUAAAACUCUGUUAUUAGGGAAGAACAAAUGUGUAAGUAACUAUGCACGUCUUGACGGUACCUAAUCAGAAAGCCACGGCUAACUACGUG